UACGUAGGGUGCGAGCGUUAAUCGGAAUUACUGGGCGUAAAGCGUGCGCAGGCGGUUUUGUAAGCCAGAUGUGAAAUCCCCCGGGCUCAACCUGGGAAUGGCAUUUGGGACUGCAAGGCUGGAGUACGGCAGAGGGAGACUGGAAUUCCUGGUGUAGCAGUGAAAUGCGUAGAUAUCAGGAGGAAUACCGAUGGCGGAAGGCAGGUCUCUGGGCUGAUACUGACGCUCAUGCACGAAAGCGUGGGGAGCAAACAGG
rnacentral:rRNA from 1 species